rnacentral:rRNA from 1 species
UACGUAGGGUGCAAGCGUUAAUCGGAAUUACUGGGCGUAAAGCGUGCGCAGGCGGUUUUGUAAGUCUGUCGUGAAAUCCCCCGGGCUCAACCUGGGAAUUGCGAUGGAGACUGCAAGGCUAGAAUCUGGCAGAGGGGGGUAGAAUUCCACGUGUAGCAGUGAAAUGCGUAGAGAUGUGGAGGAACACCGAUGGCGAAGGCAGCCCCCUGGGUCAAGAUUGACGCUCAUGCACGAAAGCUGGGGAGCAAACAGGAUUAGAA